rnacentral:lncRNA from 1 species
GAAGAGUGAUGGUCGGCCCCAGGGUCGAGAGUGAGUUACUGCCAGGUCCAGGGCUGUCCCUGUGUUCUGGCUCCCAGACCACAGUGUUUCUUCCUGAAGCCGGUGGUUGCAGCCACUUUGCCUUGCUCCUCUACGCCUUUCCUGAAGGAUGAGGUGGGGCCAGUCUGCCUCUGGGAGCUCGGUCAAGUUCACCCGCCUGCCUGCCUGUCCAGCCAAGUACCUGGCCCAGAUCAUUGUGAUGGGCGUGCAGGUGGUGGGCAGGGCCUUUGCACGGGCCUUGCGGCAGGAGUUUGCAGCCUCUACCCCCUAAAAAGGAA